AAGUCGUAACAAGGUUUCCGUAGGUGAACCUGCGGAAGGAUCAUUAUUGAUUUUAAUUAUUUGUGAAGGUACUACUAAUUAACAACAAUUCUACAAUCAUAUCAAAAAAAAAUCAAAACUUUUAACAAUGGAUCUCUUGGUUCUC
rnacentral:misc_RNA from 1 species